rnacentral:lncRNA from 1 species
GAAAUGUUUGACAUAUAAUAUCCAGUCAAUGUGUCCUUUUUGGAAUGGACACAGAUCCCAGAAAAUGUCACUUCUCAUUUUUUUUUUUUUAUUCAAUCCCAUAGAAUCCUGGAAGACUCAGGAGGAUGCUCCUCAGCUGGAGUCGUUUGUGAUGGUCCCAGCCUGUAGUCAGAUAAUAGGAGAAACAUCCUCUGCCUCCACAGGAUAUUUCGCUUGUGUCUCCUCUGAAUGCGAGCUUGUCUUUUCUGAUGAGGAUGGAUACAGAGGAAGAACUGGAGUCUCCCACAAAGAAGAUACAGAUGGAAGAAAUGACCUCUCCUGAAAAAAUACGUACAUUCACCCCCACUCAAGUGACUACAAUGGAGCUCCUGACUGACAGUGAAUCCAACUUGGAUAUCCAAGCCAAAGAUGAAAAGGAGAGGGCUGAAAGUCCACCAGAACCUCGAGCUUUGGAGGAAUGUUCCAGGGCCAAGACACCUGAAUGGCUGGCAGCCCUGGACAGUGGCUUCCAGUGCAUGAGCUGCUACCGGAUCUUCCCGAGCUUAGAGGACCUUCAGAAGCACAUGGAACAUGGGAUCAGUGAGGGCUUUAGCUGCUAUGUUUUCCGUCUUGCUUUGGCUUGGCUAAAGCGAAAGUGGAACAGAAAAGGGGAAAACAGGAGGAGGAAGAAGAUUAUCAAGAUGGCCACAUCUGGUUGCCACAAAGAAAAACAUUUUGGCAUGAAGAUAUACUCAUGCAAAGACACUGACUCUCACCCCUAAAAAGAGGAAAUGAAAGAGGCCAGCCUCUAUUGAGGAGGCUUCAUCUCUAAGCAGCCAUCGUACCUACCCUUGUUUAUGCAUCUUUGUCAGCACACCACCCAAAGAGCAGAGAACCCAUUCUAAUAUUAUCCACUGCUCUCCUGAGGAGAGCGGAGAGGAAGGCAGAUCUCACCAUACAGAAGAGCAAGAUGUCCUUAAGCAAACUAAAGAAAAAUGAACAACAGUAUAUCAUCUCCACCACUACAAGUGAAGAAAGGACGAAAGUGAAACUGCUAUGGACUAGAUCACAGAAGGGGUGAGAACUGGAAUGGUAAGAGAUCAUGUCAAGAAUAUUUAGGAUGCAGGAUUCUGAGAAAAGGCAUCCAUCACUAAUGCCUCCCAAGGUCCCAUAAUCACUGUAAUGAAUAAUUUCUUUCAGAAUAAUGUAUUCUUGGAAGUGGAAUAUUUUUUUGUUGUUUAGUUACUCGGUCAUAUAUGACUCUUUACAACCCCAUGGACCUGCAGCAUGCCAGGCUUCCCUGUCCUUCAGUAUCUCCUGGAUAGUCUGGGACACUAAACUCACGUCCAUUGAGUCAAUGAUGCCAUCCAACCGUCUCACACUCUGUCACCCCCAUCUCCUUCUGCCCUCAAUCUUUCCCAGCAUCAAUUUCUUUUCCAAUGGGUUGGCUGUUCACAUCAGGUGGCCAAGUACUGGGGAGCUUUAGUUUCAGCAUCAAUCCUUCCAAUGAAUAUUCAGGGUUGAUUUCCUUUAGGAUCGACUGGUUUGAUUUCCUUGCUGUUUCUGCCGUGGAAUAUUUUGUUGAUGACAAAUUAAUGAGAAUAUCUCCUGUCCACCCCCUUGGAAGGGAUAGGAAAAAAUACCCAACUAGGAAUUCUGCUACUCACUGGAAAAGACCCUGAUGCUGGGGAAGAUUGCAGGCAAGGGGAGAAGGGGGCCACAGAGGAUGAGAUGGUUGGAUGGCAUCACCAACUCAAUGUACAUAAAUUUGAGCAAACUCCAGGAGACAGUGAAGGACAGAAAAGCCUGUCAUGAUGCAGUCCAUGGGAAUCACAAAGAGUCAGACAUGACUGAGUGACUGAAUGGCAAGCAGUUCAGCAGGGCAGAGAAGGCCUGGCC